UACGGAGGGUGCAAGCGUUAAUCGGAAUUACUGGGCGUAAAGGGUGCGUAGGCGGAUAAUUAAGUCAGACGUGAAAUUCCGGGGCUCAACCCCGGAGCUGCAUCUGAAACUGGAUAUCUAGCAGGAUGGCGGAGAAAACGGAAUUCCAUGUGUAGCGUUGAAAUGCGUAGAUAUGUGGAAGAACACCUGUGGCGAAAGCGGUUUUCUAGCCUACCCUGGACGCCGUGGCACGAAAGCAAGGGGAGCAAACAGG
rnacentral:rRNA from 1 species